rnacentral:tRNA from 1 species
GCGGGAAUAGCUCAGUUGGUAGAGCUCCACCUUGCCAAGGUGGAUGUCGCGGGUUCAAGUCCCGUUUCCCGCU